UAUGUGAUCGUCUCUCGCAUAUCAAUAAGCGGAGGAAAAGAAACUAACAAGGAUUCCCCUAGUAACGGCGAGUGAAGCGGGAAGAGCUCAAAUUUGAAAUCUUAAAGGGUUUCCCUUUACGAAUUGUAGUUUAAAGAAGUGUUUUCUGUUGAGGUUUUGGUAAAAGUUCUUUGGAAUAGGACAUCAUAGAGGGUGAGAAUCCCGUAUUUGACCUUUACUUUCAACUUUGUGAUACACUUUCAAAGAGUCGGAUUGUUUGGGAAUGCAGUUCAAAAUGGGUGGUAAAUUUCAUCUAAAGCUAAAUAUUGGCGAGAGACCGAUAGCGAACAAGUACCGUGAGGGAAAGAUGAAAAGAACUUUGAAAAGAGAGUUAAACAGUACGUGAAAUUGUCAAAAGGGAAGCGUUUGACACCAGUGUUGUUUUUCUGAAAAUCAAUUAAAGAACUGUUUAUGCUAAGCUGUUUAGACUUUAUCAGCUAUCUGUUUAGUUUUGAGCUUUUCUUUAAUGCACUUUUCAGUUAACAAGUCAACAUCAAUUUCUUUUGCUGUAAAAAAGCUUGAGGAAGGUGGCUUGAGAUUCGUCUUAAGUGUUUAUAGCCUCUUGCCUAUGCAGUCGGAGAGAUUGAGGUCUGCAGCGUAGAUCCUUCGGGGCUAAAUGCAUUUGUGCUAAGUUAUAGCAUUUUAUAGACAACUUGUUGACUAUGAUUUGUCUUGUAGCUUACUCGCUUAUGUUAUUUUACCUACGCUUAGGAUGUUGAGCGCAUGUCUCUCUCU
rnacentral:rRNA from 1 species